GACAGAGGUGCCAAGCGUUAGGCGGAAUCACUGGGCUUAAAGCGUGUGUAGGCGGAAUUGUAAGUACCUUGUGAAAUCCCACGGCUCAACCGUGGAACUGCUCGGUAUACUGCUUUUCUUGAGCCACUUAGGGGCUACCGGAACAAAUGGUGGAGCGGUGAAAUGCGUAGAGAUGGGGGAGAACACUCGUGGCGAAGGCGGCCAGCUAGACCAGUUCUGACACUGAGGCGCGACAGCGUGGGGAGCAAACAGG
rnacentral:rRNA from 1 species